rnacentral:rRNA from 1 species
AGAGUUUGAUCAUGGCUCAGGAUGAACGCUAGCUACAGGCUUAACACAUGCAAGUCGAGGGGCAGCAUCAUCAAAGCUUGCUUUGAUGGAUGGCGACCGGCGCACGGGUGAGUAACACGUAUCCAACCUGCCGACAACACUGGGAUAGCCUUUCGAAAGAAAGAUUAAUACCGGAUGGCAUAGUUUUCCCGCAUGGGAUAAUUAUUAAAGAAUUUCGGUUGUCGAUGGGGAUGCGUUCCAUUAGGCAGUUGGCGGGGUAACGGCCCACCAAACCUACGAUGGAUAGGGGUUCUGAGAGGAAGGUCCCCCACAUUGGAACUGAGACACGGUCCAAACCCCUACGGGAGGCAGCAGUGAGGAAUAUUGGUCAAUGGACGAGAGUCUGAACCAGCCAAGUAGCGUGAAGGAUGACUGCCCUAUGGGUUGUAAACUUCUUUUAUACGGGAAUAAAGUGAGCCACGUGUGGCUUUUUGUAUGUACCGUAUGAAUAAGGAUCGGCUAACUCCGUGCCAGCAGCCGCGGUAAUACGGAGGAUUCGAGCGUUAUCCGGAUUUAUUGGGUUUAAAGGG